UACGAAGGGGGCUAGCGUUGCUCGGAAUCACUGGGCGUAAAGGGCGCGUAGGCGGCGUUUUAAGUCGGGGGUGAAAGCCUGUGGCUCAACCACAGAAUGGCCUUCGAUACUGGGACGCUUGAGUAUGGUAGAGGUUGGUGGAACUGCGAGUGUAGAGGUGAAAUUCGUAGAUAUUCGCAAGAACACCGGUGGCGAAGGCGGCCAACUGGACCCAUUACUGACGCUGAGGCGCGAAAGCGUGGGGAGCAAACAGG
rnacentral:rRNA from 1 species